rnacentral:rRNA from 1 species
AGCAGCCGCGGUAAUUCCAGCUCCAAUAGCGUAUAUUAAAGUUGUUGCAGUUAAAAAGCUCGUAGUUGAAUUUCGGGAUCGACAGGUUGGUCGCGCCUUCGGUGUGUACUGGCCUAGUCGGUUUCUCCCUUCUGACGAACCACGAUGUCAUUAAUUUGGUGUCGUGGGAAAUCAGGACUGUUACUUUGAAAAAAUUAGAGUGUUUAAAGCAGGCAUUAGCUUGAAUACAUUAGCAUGGAAUAAUGAAAUAGGACGUUUGAUCCUAUUUUGUUGGUUUCUAGGAUCGACGUAAUGAUUAAUAGGGAUAGUUGGGGGCAUUAGUAUUCAAUUGUCAGAGGUGAAAUUCUUGGAUUUAUUGAAGACUAACUACUGCGAAAGCAUUUGCCAAGGAUGUUUUCAUUAAUCAAGAACGAAAGUUAGGGGAUCGAAGACGAUCAGAUACCGUCGUAG